CAGUCGCCGCGGGAAUACGAAGGGUGCAAGCGUUAAUCGGAAUUACUGGGCGUAAAGGGUGCGUAGGCGGUCCGUUAAGACAGAUGUGAAAUCCCCGGGCUUAACCUGGGAACUGCAUUUGUGACUGGCGGGCUAGAGUAUGGCAGAGGGGGGUAGAAUUCCACGUGUAGCAGUGAAAUGCGUAGAGAUGUGGAGGAAUACCGAUGGCGAAGGCAGCCCCCUGGGCCAAUACUGACGCUCAUGCACGAAAGCGUGGGGAGCAAACAGGAUUAGAUACCCCCGUAGUCCCUGUCUCUUAUAU
rnacentral:rRNA from 1 species